AUUGAACGCUGGCGGCAGGCCUAACACAUGCAAGUCGAGCGGUAGCACAGAGAGCUUGCUCUCGGGUGACGAGCGGCGGACGGGUGAGUAAUGUCUGGGAAACUGCCUGAUGGAGGGGGAUAACUACUGGAAACGGUAGCUAAUACCGCAUAACGUCGCAAGACCAAAGUGGGGGACCUUCGGGCCUCAUGCCAUCAGAUGUGCCCAGAUGGGAUUAGCUAGUAGGUGGGGUAACGGCUCACCUAGGCGACGAUCCCUAGCUGGUCUGAGAGGAUGACCAGCCACACUGGAACUGAGACACGGUCCAGACUCCUACGGGAGGCAGCAGUGGGGAAUAUUGCACAAUGGGCGCAAGCCUGAUGCAGCCAUGCCGCGUGUGUGAAGAAGGCCUUCGGGUUGUAAAGCACUUUCAGCGGGGAGGAAGGCGGUGAGGUUAAUAACCUCAUCGAUUGAUGUUACCCGCAGAAGAAGCACCGGCUAACUCCGUGCCAGCCGCCGCAGUAA
rnacentral:rRNA from 1 species